UUGAAACGCCGGUUCCCAUAAUAUCAGCGAAGUUAAGUAACGUUGAGCUGGGUCAGUACCAAGAUGGGUGACCGCUCGAGAAGAUCAGGUGCUGUAAG